GCCCCUGGAGGAGCUCAGUAAUGCUCACAGACCAGGGGAUAGAGCUUGGAAAGAGGGCCUGGAAGAGUGGAUUCAGUUUCUCCCCAGCACAGAACACCCUCCUCUGCCAGCCCCAGCCCCAGCACACUCUUACUGUCUUUAGGACCUGUUCUAUCUGCCUCCUCCAGGAAGCCUUCCCUGUCACUCAGCUGGGAUGAGAUCCCUCCGUGUCCUCGCUGCAUGUAUGCAGGCCAGCUCCUUCACUCUGCAUCCCUGAGCUGAGGGCAUUGACCGGCCACAGCAGGACAGGCGCUGAGGCUCCAAGCUCCUUUUCAAAUGGAAGUUGUGCGGGGAAAUCCUCGAGGGAGGUCCCCCAGUCAGGCGGACCUUGCAGACGGACCACCCCUCAGCCCCACUUUGAAGGGUCCCCUCUUCAGAGCCUUCGAUGGCCAUCCUGGACCCUACGACUGAAGCCAGUUUCCUAGGCCUGACCUCUCAACUUUGACCACGCUUCUCAUAUCAGUCAAGGCCCAGCUUACCCCGGACCUCCUCCAGCAAGGCCCCUGACCUCUACAGCCUCGUGCCCCCUUCCACUGACCUCCAACGGCCUGCUGCAGUGUUCACUGCUUACAUUUCAAGACUGCCUGCUGUAUGCGGGUCACUGAGAUUAGUAAGUGUCUUUAGCUGCUUCAUCUUGCUUCCUCCCUGAGUGACCGGCACCACCACCCCUAUUAGGCUCAGUGAGAUUUAGUAACUUGCCCCGAAUUACGUCAUUGGUUAGAGCGAUAACCAGGGCUUGAAUCCGACUGAUGGCCGCCCUCCAACCCUUUGCUCUAAACUGGGGGCCAGCAAACUUGUGACCCCACUGGUUAAAUUCUGCCAACUGUCUGCUUCUGCGCCGCCCGAGCUAGAAUGGUUUUUACAUGGCUGAAAAAAAAGAAUCGAGAAAAAAUGUAAAAUUUUGGCGCAUGGGAAAAUCACAUGAAAUUACAAUGCCAUUGUCCAUUAAUAAAGUUAUAUUGGAACACGG